rnacentral:rRNA from 1 species
UACGGAGGGUGCAAGCGUUGUCCGGAUUUAUUGGGUUUAAAGGGUGCGUAGGUGGGUGGUUAAGUCUGGUUUGAAAGCAGGUGGCUCAACCAUCUGAUGUGGCUGGAAACUGGCCGUCUUGAAUGGGUUGGCGGUAGCCGGAAUGGGUCAUGUAGCGGUGAAAUGCAUAGAUAUGACCCGGAACACCGAUUGCGAAGGCAGGCUACUACGACUUGAUUGACACUGAGGCACGAGAGCAUGGGUAGCGAACAGG